rfam:Canis lupus familiaris chromosome 13, whole genome shotgun sequence.
AGGAGGAACAGCCCCAGUGGCGGGGCCAGCUCUGGAGCCCUGGAUCAGCCCCCGCAGGAACUCCGGAGCUCUCGGUCUGCAGGGCCUGGAGGCUCCGGGGUGGG